rnacentral:rRNA from 1 species
CAGUAGCCGCGGUAAAACGAAGGGUGCAAGCGUUACUCGGAAUUACUGGGCGUAAAGCGUGCGUAGGUGGUGGUUUAAGUCCGUUGUGAAAGCCCUGGGCUCAACCUGGGAAUUGCAGUGGAUACUGGGUCACUAGAGUGUGGUAGAGGAUAGUGGAAUUUCCGGUGUAGCAGUGAAAUGCGUAGAGAUCGGAAGGAACAUCUGUGGCGAAGGCGACUAUCUGGGCCAACACUGACACUGAGGCACGAAAGCGUGGGGAGCAAACAGGAUUAGAUACCCCGGUAGUCCCUGUCUCUUAUAU